UUGCUACUUUGCUGACGAGCGGCGGACGGGUGAGUAAUGCUUGGGAACAUGCCUUGAGGUGGGGGACAACAGUUGGAAACGACUGCUAAUACCGCAUAAUGUCUACGGACCAAAGGGGGCUUCGGCUCUCGCCUUUAGAUUGGCCCAAGUGGGAUUAGCUAGUUGGUGAGGUAAUGGCUCACCAAGGCGACGAUCCCUAGCUGGUUUGAGAGGAUGAUCAGCCACACUGGGACUGAGACACGGCCCAGACUCCUACGGGAGGCAGCAGUGGGGAAUAUUGCACAAUGGGCGCAAGCCUGAUGCAGCCAUGCCGCGUGUGUGAAGAAGGCCUUCGGGUUGUAAAGCACUUUCAGUCAGGAGGAAAGGUUAGUAGUUAAUACCUGCUAGCUGUGACGUUACUGACAGAAGAAGCACCGGCUAACUCCGUGCCAGCAGCCGCGGUAAUACGGAGGGUGCGAGCGUUAAUCGGAAUUACUGGGCGUAAAGCGUACGCAGGCGGUUUGUUAAGCGAGAUGUGAAAGCCCCGGGCUCAACCUGGGAACUGCAUUUCGAACUGGCAAACUAGAGUGUGAUAGAGGGUGGUAGAAUUUCAGGUGUAGCGGUGAAAUGCGUAGAGAUCUGAAGGAAUACCGAUGGCGAAGGCAGCCACCUGGGUCAACACUGACGCUCAUGUACGAAAGCGUGGGGAGCAAACGGGAUUAGAUACCCCGGUAGUCCACGCCGUAAACGAUGUCUACUAGAAGCUCGGAGCCUCGGUUCUGUUUUUCAAAGCUAACGCAUUAAGUAGACCGCCUGGGGAGUACGGCCGCAAGGUUAAAACUCAAAUGAAUUGAC
rnacentral:rRNA from 1 species